GUCCUGCACGAUUUCCAAAGCAAGGUUUCAUAAUGCUUCAGCAAAGCAACCUGAAUCGAGGUUUUCCUUCCUGAGAGAGAGCACAGAUACCAUACCCAAGACAAGUUCCUUCGCCCGUUUCUCCAACAUGUCUAUACAGCACGUACAAAAUGCAAUGGCAAUGGCCAAGGAUCGCCUCGUUGGGAAAAUUCUUAAGAUUUGAGCCCAAGGAUUGAGGAGGAUGGAGCUUAAAGUUGAAAAUCCUCAGUUCUUACAUAUAUCUAUAUGCCUAACAGGAUUGACUAAGUCACUAGUUUUAGCAAAUCCUGGAAGAAGAUUAAGCACAGUUUGAGCUGGAAAUCUGCAGGAGAGCAGAGCAAGCCCUUUUCUUCUGUGUGCGUUGUGGAGUGUGAGACUUUCAGAGCAAUCGGGGGAAAUUAGAGGAUUGCUACCUUCCAGAUUCAAAGGUGAGCAAACGUUUGUUUCAACAGGACGUAAAGUACAGAAGUCAAACAAGGACAAUGGAAAUAAAAGUAAAAAACAAGACAUUCCUGGAUGUGGUUUGAAGGCAUUUAAAAAAGAUUCUGUUUAAGAUUCUUAGGAGUUGCACAUGAAUCUGGUGUUGGCAAAUAAUUGCCUGUUCCACUUGCCAAAGUUCUACUUUGGGGUUCUUAAGAAUUCUCCAAACAUAUGGUGACAUAGCCUUUGGAGUUUAGAAUUUAAUUCAUUUUUCACCUGUAUGUUAGAAAAAUGUGUAAGUUUCAAGUAAUACAUUAUUUUUCUAAACAUUCAUUUGAAAUAUGAAGCCUCACAAUAUUAUGAGUCUCACGAAAGCAUUACAAACCUUAACGUUCUUUCAUUGUUGUUUUAAUAGAUUGUUAUGAAAAUAUCUUCAACUUGUAAAACACUGAAAAUUUGUGGGAGGUGCAAAAUAUAAAAAACAUAUGACAUAUAUCACAAGAAGCAAAUAGUUUAUUUUUUGUUUACGCAAUGUAUCCUCAUCUGUCUAUGCAUGCUGUAUGCUAGCAUAGAACUUUUCCAAUGUUUUGAAUUCCAUUAAUCUAAAAUAUAAAGCCCUAUACCUGUGAUAUAUUACUAAUGCUAAUAGAUAAGAUCACCCAAUUAUAAACUUCAGUUUACUCUUAUUAAUGUAGCAAAUGAAGUCAUGGAAGUGAGUGAGAUCUCAUUUUGGAUAAGGUUCCAUUUCUUGUUAAAUGUUGUUAUUUCAGAGUUGGGCAUAUAUCAUCAUUGAUAUAACAAUAACAGAUGUCUUAUUUGUGGAUUCCUCUCCUGUCUGCCUCACAGCAAUGAUUUUACUACUUGUGAAGGAUUACGAAAAAUUACUGGAAGAUUUACAAGAGGUCUCUGCAGUAUUUAUCUAGAAGCCAAGUAUAAUAUUGUUUUUCCAAACCCAUCAACCAACACAACUUAAUCCUGACUCAAAAGAGCUGCAUUAUUCUUUCCUUAGCCUGUGUGAUUACAGCUUCUGUACCUUUUUUGUCAAUAAAAGUUGGAUUGGUCGCAAUAGCA